AGACCCUCAUCCAGUUCUUAUACACUGGAGAUGUGUCAGUUAUUACAGGUCAGUUGAACCAUCCUUCAUUAGUUUCCAGACCCUCAUCCAGUUCUUAUACACUGGAGAUGAGUCAGUUAUUAUAGAUAUAUCCACUAUAGAUGAUCUCUUUGAUCUGUAUUAUCUGGGAGACAAGUAUGAGCUGCGUGGAGCCAGGAACCUGAUUAAGGAAGUUGUCUCUAGCUUCAAGAUCAACCAGGAGAACUGGAUUCAUGUACUCAAGGGAAUCAAGAAGUAUGAGAAUACUUUCCUGUUUGAAGAUCUUUGUAACAUACUUCAGGAUCAAGUUCAAGGCUAUUUAAAGGGCUGUCUCUCUUCUGAUGAAUACCUGGAUGAUAUUCAAGAAUCUGAUGACACAGAUUUCUAUUCCUGGGUCAAAAACUGGAUUCAGAAAUGGAGCAGAUCAGACACAGGUUA
rnacentral:lncRNA from 1 species